UGGGGAAUAUUGCGCAAUGGGGGAAACCCUGACGCAGCGACGCCGCGUGCGGGAUGAAGGCUUUCGGGUUGUAAACCGCCUUUGAUUGGGAGCAAGCUUUCGGGUGAGUGUACCUUUCGAAUAAGCCCCGGCUAACUACGUGCCAGCAGCCGCGGUAAUACGUAGGGGGCGAGCGUUGUCCGGAAUUACUGGGCGUAAAGGGUUCGCAGGCGGCCUGGCAAGUCCGAUGUAAAAGGCGAAGGCUCAACCUUCGUAAGCAUCGGAAACUGUCAAGCUUGAGUGAAGGAGAGGCAAGUGGAAUUCCUAGUGUAGCGGUGGAAUGCGUAGAUAUUAGGAGGAAUACCGGUGGCGAAGGCGACUUGCUGGACUUCAACUGACGCUGAGGAACGAAAGCGUGGGUAGCAAACAGG
rnacentral:rRNA from 1 species